GACAGAGGCCUCAAGCGUUAGGCGGAAUCACUGGGCUUAAAGCGUGUGUAGGCGGAUCGUUAAGUGUCUUGUGAAAUCCCACGGCCCAACCGUGGAAGUGCCUCUGAUACCGCGGGCCUCGAGGGGGAUAGGGGCGUGCGGAACUUCCGGUGGAGCGGUGAAAUGCGUAGAUAUCGGAAGGAACACCCGUGGCGAAGGCGGCUCUCUGGAACGCAACUGACGCUGAGACGCGAAAGCGUGGGGAGCAAACAGG
rnacentral:rRNA from 1 species